AACACGCACGAGAAUCCCCUGAUGUAUAUCACCCAGCCCUAAAAGGAACUCUAACCUUUAUGUAUGAAAUUGUCAUAUUUUAUUUUCAUUCAGAAUACCACAUCAACUUUUUUACUAAAACACUUGUCAUUGUAAAUAAUUAGUUGUUUUUUUCUGUUAGGACAGCUCUGAAGACUUUCAAGUUCCCGUGGAGGAGAGUUCUGAGGAGAGCAGUGACUCUGGAAGGGGGAGGGGGGGAGCCAGAGGUGCAAGUAGAGAAAGAGGCAGGGGAAGAGCAGGAGCUGUCAGUGAGGAGGACAGACUCAGAGUGGAGGAGCUAACUGCUGCCAGGACAGCAGAGAUACAGGCACAGUUACAGGAGCUAUCCCUGGAGGAGAAGGAUGAGGUACUUCAGAGGGUGGUCACUCGUCUGCCAGGUGUUUUUCUAGAUGUAAUGGAAUACAGACAGGCCACACCAGGACCAGCCACACCAAACAGAGGUCAGCCAGCAUGGUGCACCUGUCUUAACUGGAGAAUAAUGCCUACUGAUCUGGAGAACAAAUGCUGCAGACAGAAUCCAGAAGAUUGUCUCAGCAGGAGCGCCCACAUGGAACUGUACUGUCUGGAUGAAGGCAUCCUCCGCUUAGCUCGCUAGACAUGGAACGACAUCCUUGCACUCCAUGACAGCCAAGACCCUGGGGCAGAUAACCGAGAAUAUCGAUAUUCUGCUUAUCGCCAAACUACGAUUUGGCAGCAUGGACAUCUGGGCACAGGGAAUCGUUUAGUAAUGCCAAGCUGCUGCAUGUGGCGAAUAUAAGACAAAAUUCCCUGACCCAUUUGGGAACUAUGUUGGCUUCAAAGAAGCACCGUUUAGAGUAAAUUAAAAUGUACAGUUUACCACAUCUGAAAAUAAAAAUGUUCCUAAGCCAUUCUGAUUUUUUUUAUUGAAAAACUCCUGCUGAAUUAGGUCGACUCUGUAAUAUUUUAGUCUGCAGUUGAGGGAUGUAACUGUAGUCUUUUUGCUCCUUCACUGUGUAGACACGGUAGCGCUGUGACUUCUUGCUAUAGGUUGUUUUGUUUGCAAAACAACAUAUGACAUUAGUUGACAAAAUAAGAAAACAAGCAAAGUUUUCAGGACAUACUAAUAUCAAUAAUUUACAACAGUGACUUAAAAAACAUUGCCUUUUCGGUUUACAUGCACUGCUCGGUGGUUAUGAUGGUUGCAGUCUAAGGCUGCUAGAAGAGUCCUAGCCUCAUAAACAGGAGGAGAAAACGAAAACCGUUUGCCUGCAUACAUAAGGAUAUGAUUCUGGAAGGAUUCCAACUCAGAAGUUGACCUACAGGACAUAGAGAUUAUCAGAUUCUCCAAAGAUCAGCUAUCUUUAGAAAAUAUCAAGCGCAAGAGCUAUGCCUGUAUGUACAAAGAAUAAAACAUUGCAAUUA